GGGCUGCAGGAGCAGAGACAGGUCAUCCCGCACCAGAUCCAGCAAGGCACCCCCCCGCGCAUGCUGUGCCCUCACCGAUGUAGCGCUCCUUCUCGUCCGUCUGUCCCCCGAUGGCCACGCGCCCGCUGCACAGCAGCGCCUGCACUCGCUGGAACUGUUUGUCUCCCACUAUGCGGGCAAAGUCAGGGGAAUUGCGGGGCUCAGAGCCGUAGAACUCUGCGAUGGCCUCGCGCAGAGCAGGCACCAGCCUCUCCCGCAUCUCCACGCUGCACAGGACGUAGUCGGGCGCAACACAGGUCUGCCCCGCAUUGAAGAAGCGUCCCCAGGCCACCCUCCGGGCCACGUUCUGCACAUUGCAGGUGUCGGACACGUAGCAGGGGUUUUUGCCCCCCAGCUCCAGUGUCACCGGUGUCAGGUGCUUGGCAGCAGCCGUCAUUAUGAUCCUACCCACUGAGGGGCUGCCUGUGGACAAGGGUUGUAGCGUAAGCUGAUCUUGUCCAUUUCCUUUUGUGUCUCCUUGCCUUGAAGGUGUAACCAAAGCCUCCCCAUGGGACGCACCGGUGAAGAAGAUGUAGUCAAACUUGUUCUCUAGCAGCCUGGUGGUCUCCUCCACUCCGGCAGUUACCACAGCAAAGCAGUCCUGUGGUUUAGGAGAAUGAUACAGGAUACAACUCAGCUGUGGGGUUUUUUUUGUUUUUUUGUUUUUUGGUUUUUUUUUGUCAGGAUAUAGAGGGACAAGAAGCUGUGGCCAGCAGCCUUCCUACCUUGUCAAGGUAGCUGGGCAAUGCCUCGGCCACCAGCCUCUCCAUGUUCCUGCUGAUUUCGGAGGGUUUCAGUACAACACAGUUACCUGUAGGACAAGAGCUCCUUCCCAGUGAGGAGCUGGCUCUCGGGGAGCAGAGAAACCCACCACCAUCACCUCCCUUGGGGUUGGGAACUCAGGUUGCCUACGUGGAGGUCCUGGUACCCUCGUUGGGUAGUAGGGAUGCAGCCUCAGCCUUACCAGCAGCAAUGGCCCCAAUGAGGGGCACUAGGAGGAGGUUGAUGGGGUAGUUCCAGGGUCCGAUGAUGAGCACUACCCCAUAGGGGUCCUUGUGGAUGAAGGCUGAGUCCAGCUGUGUUGCCUGCAGCAGGAAGGAGAUUGUUAGGGACCCACUGUUCCGAUCCUGCCCAUCCCUGGCAGACGCCAUCCUGUACCCAGUUCUUGUCCACGUUCUCGUCCUUCAUCCAGGCACCCAGGUUGUUUAGCGUGUGGUUGAGCUCACUCCUGCAGAUGGAUAUCUCAGAGAGUUCCACUUCGAAGGAUGGCUGAGGACAUGCAGGAAGACAUCAUGGUCACUACCAUCACCCCACUGCAAUGGUUUUCCUCCCAAGCCCCACGCUCACCCUCCUAGUAGGGUGUGGUGGCCUCAGUAGGGCCAGAUGCCACUGUUGGCCUUGUGCUGUGAAGACAGGUGGCACUGUCUUCCAUGUCUACCACAUGCCACCUAUGUAACAAUGUGCUACCUGGCCCCAUACCACUCUGUGCCAUCGUGUUCUGGGGCGUAGCAGAGACUCAGGUUUGGAGACACGUGUUUGGUAUCUCAAGAGCUUUAGCUCCAUUGAUAGUAGAACAACACAUGCAGCUCUGGAGGUGCAGAUGGGCACAAGGAAUUGAAUUGUGCUCAGCAAAAGCUUCUGCAGAGCUGACUGAACCUAAUUCUGUGCGAUCAGAAGGCCUGCUUUGUGGUGUCCCAUUGUGGGUGUCUCCAAAGCUGAGUUGAAGGUUACAGCAAAAAGCAGAGGCCACCUCUCCCCAAGCGACCAUGCGCCAACCCCAGAGAGGUGCAGAUGAGCAAAAGGGAGGAAACUGAUGGAGAAUAGAUAGGAAAAAAUGAGGGGGAAAAAGUGAAGGAAAGUCAAGCACUUCUCACCAGCAGCCCCAUCCCUCUCACCUUGCGCAUGUCCAAGGCAGUGGCCUCCAGGAUGUCCUGCUUCUUCUCCUCCAGGAAUCGGCCCAGGGCCUCCAGCUGGGCUGUACGGUAUUCCAAGGGCCGUGUCCUCCCUGAGAGCCAGGCUGCCCGCAGGUGGCUCACCAGCCCUGCGUGGUCACUCAUGGCACAGGGUGGCUGUGAGCUGGUGAGGAUGGGAGAUGUCACCCCCCCUGAGGUGGAGGAGAACACCCAGUGCCAGGGUGAAAUCCACCAUCAUGUACCAAGCUCCUGUUGCAGCAGGCAGCGUAUGCCUGGCCAUAGAGCACAGCCAAGAGCAAUGUGACCCUGUGCUGGGCAAAGAUCAGGAUGCAUCAGAGUCUGUCUUCAUGCUCAAGAAUGCAUGUCUGUGAGUGUAUUACAGAUUGCUUGAAAUCACUACUGCUAAACAUAUAUCAAUGCACUUUUUAGGUUAUAUAGAUUUCCCACUAGAGAAGUAAGCACAUGGACUGUUCAUCCAUACACAUAAAGUAAGUACAGACUUACAGCCAUUCAGCCAUACACACAUCUUAGCUAUUUAUGAUAUUGGUGGCACAACACUUGCCAAAUCUCUACCUGGAGUCAAUCGAAGACAGAGCAGCCUUUGGAGAGAGUCUGUGCUGUGGAGCGCAGUGUUAUCCCGACAUCCCUAGCAGGCUUCUGUCUGUCUGUCCAAUGCAGAAAAGGGUUUGGAUGUGUUUGUGCGAAAAUCCGUCUAGGACAGAUAAGGAUCCGGAAUCUUUAUGCCUGAUUUGCAUAUUGGGAAGUGGGCGUAGAGCACAGUCUUCCUGCUUGAGUCUUGAUCUGGGUUUCUUUGUCUUGCUGGCUACGCCUCAACAAGAAGGGCACCAGGCGAGCAUAUCAGAGUCAUUCGGGCCUCCAGCCAAGCACAUGGGAGAGGUCUCAGGUUCCACAGCCAAGCCAGCAUCCACCUUCACCAGCAUGUUCCCUGGCUUGUCUGUCAGGUGAACCCAACAAGAGGUUUGGCUUUGUGAGCCAAGGCGCUGGAGUUUGGUUCUCACUCUCUUAAGGUACAGGAUGGGGUGAGGAACAGGAGGCACACAGAACUGGGAGCUUCAUCUGCCGACAGUCAGCCAGUCACCAGCCAAACCUCUCGAGCAUCUUGACCCCCUUCUUUGGAAGCACUUAUCAGCCUGUGCAUAAUAAUCGCUGUUUGGCCAGUGGACUUGGUCAGCACAAAGUUCACAGACACCAAGGUGAAUAAGUGCAGUUAUCUUUACUUCAGCAAGGUAAGUGAGAUUAAACAGCAAAGGUAGAACGCAGCAAUGCACUUAACCAUUAGUACAUGAGGAUUGUGAUUGAGAAAGUUAUGUCACCAAUUGCCCUCAUACUUUACCUUCAUCCAGAUCUGCAGUUGCUGGGAGCCCAGUUGCAGCAAUGAUCUGGAGAGCCUUUCCCAGCAACUGGGAGGGCCUGUGUGGUGCAUCUGCUCAUAGCUCCGCCCCACGCUGAUAGGCAGGUGGCCCUGGGUGUCACCAAGCCAGCAACAGGUACAGCGAGGCACUUGGAGUCAACAGACGACAUUGAUGGCUGGGGGGCCCCCGCGGCUGUGGAGGCACCAGGGCGGCCGUGGCGGUGCCUCAGAGCAGGAAGCAUUCCCCCCGGCGCUUGACCGAGGUGGCAGCGCGGACCAGCCCCAUCUUGUGGGCGCUGUAAGGGGGGUAGCGCAGGGUAUUGAUGGGCUCCAGGCCGGUGCCACGCUGCAGGCAGCCGCGGUGGUGGGUGAAGGUGUCGAAGGUGAACUGGCCGUGGUACAUCCCCAGACCGCUGGACCCUGCAACGCACAGCACAGAGCGACCCGCGGUCGGUGAGCCGAGGAGAAACGUGGGGAGGGCUUGGAAGGGCAGCGGGACAGAGAGCGAGGGGUGGAGGGGCCCCCAACAAGGCUUCUGGGCUCCCGGGUGGGGUGAAAAGCUCCCGGCCGCACUCGCAACCUCAGUGUCACCGUUUGCGUUGUGCACCGGGCGAGGCUCAGAAAACGUGGGCAGAACAAUACUUUGGCAGGGCAUCACCUCCUCGCUAGGAGGAGCUGUGUCCUCGAAAGCCUCUGAGCCGAGGCGGGCAGGCUGAAGCCUUUCUGCUCAUACCGUUGCCUGGGGGAGAGGAUCUGAAGUGCCGCCUCCUUGCUGCCCUCGUGCAGAGGAGCUGCGCUGCUCCCAGCCUCAUGUGGUUCUUCUUCAAUUAAAACUUUUGAUAAACAGG